rnacentral:rRNA from 1 species
GACGGUACUUGAUGAAUAAGCCACGGCUAAUUCCGUGCCAGCAGCCGCGGUAAUACGGGAGUGGCAAGCGUUAUCCGGAAUUAUUGGGCGUAAAGCGUCCGCAGGCGGCCUUGUAAGUCUGUCGUCAAAGCGUGGAGCUUAACUCCAUUUAAGCGAUGGAAACUGCAAGGCUAGAGUGUGGUAGGGGCAGAGGGAAUUCCCGGUGUAGCGGUGAAAUGCGUAGAUAUCGGGAAGAACACCAGUGGCGAAGGCGCUCUGCUGGGCCAUAACUGACGCUCAUGGACGAAAGCCAGGGGAGCGAAAGGGAUUAGAUACCCCUGUAGUCCUGGCCGUAAACGAUGAACACUAGGUGUCGGGGGAAUCGACCCCCUCGGUGUCGUAGCCAACGCGUUAAGUGUUCCGCCUGGGGAGUACGCACGCAAGUGUGAAACUCAAAGGAAUUGACGGGGGCCGCACAAGCGGUGGAGUAUGUGGUUUAAUUCGAUGCAACGCGAAGAACCUUACCAGGGUUUGACAUCCUGCGAAUCCCUUGGAAACGAGGGAGUGCCUUCGGGAGCGCAGAGACAGGUGGUGCAUGGCUGUCGUCAGCUCGUGUCGUGAGAUGUUGGGUUAAGUCCCGCAACGAGCGCAACCCACGUCGUUAGUUGCCAGCAUUUAGUUGGGCACUCUAGCGAGACCGCCGGUGAUAAACCGGAGGAAGGUGUGGAUGACGUCAAGUCAUCAUGCCCCUUACAUCCUGGGCUACACACGUACUACAAUGCUACGGACAAAGGGCAGCAAACUCGCGAGAGCUAGCAAAUCCCAUAAACCGUGGCUCAGUUCAGAUCGUAGGCUGCAACUCGCCUACGUGAAGGAGGAAUCGCUAGUAAUCGCAGGUCAGCAUACUGCGGUGAAUACGUUCCCGGGCCUUGUACACACCGCCCGUCACACCAUGGAAGUUGGCCACGCCCGAAGCCGUUACUCCAACCCUUGUGGAGGAGGACGU